rnacentral:pre_miRNA from 1 species
AUAAAAUUUCCAGUUGGAACCUAAUGAGUCAUCAGACUCAGAUAUUUAAGUUAACAGUAUUUGAGUCUGAUGAAUCAUUAGGUUCCACUCAGAAAUU